GCCCACGUAGCUCAGUCGGUAGAGCACGUUCUUGGUAAGAACGAGGUCACGGGUUCAAGUCCCGUCGUGGGCU
rfam:Ardenticatena maritima DNA, contig: NODE_126, strain: 110S.